rnacentral:rRNA from 1 species
GGGUCAGUAGGUUGGUCGUGCCACCGGUACGUACUGGUCUCACUGAUUCCUCCUUCCUGAAGAACCGUAAUGCCAUUAAUUUGGUGUUGCGGGGAAACAGGACUGCUACUUUGAAAAAAUUAGAGUGUUUAAAGCAAGCUAACGCUUGAAUACAUUAGCAUGGAAUAAUGAAAUAGGACGUUGAUCCUAUUUCGUUGGUUUCUAGGAUUGACGUA